rnacentral:snRNA from 1 species
CUUAACGUUAUCGCUUGUUGCAU